AUUGAACGCUGGCGGCAGGCCUAACACAUGCAAGUCGAGCGAGCGGCGGACGGGUGAGUAAUGUCUGGGAAACUGCCUGCUGGAGGGGGAUAACUACUGGAAACGGUAGCUAAUACCGCAUACCAUCAGAUGUGCCCAGAUGGGAUUAGCUGGUAGGUGGGGUAACGGCUCACCUAGGCGACGAACCCUAGCUGGUCUGCGAGGAUGACCAGCCACACUGGAACUGGGACACGGUCAAGACUCCUACGGUAGGCAGCGGUGGGGAAUAGUGCACAAUGGGCGCAAGCCUGAUGCAGCCAGGCCGCGUGUGGGAAGAAGGCCUUCGGGUUGUAAAGCACUUUCAGCGGGGAGGCGUUACCCGCAGAAGAAGCACCGGCUAACUCCGUGCCAGCAGCCGCGGUAAUUC
rnacentral:rRNA from 1 species